AUUGCACACUGGUAAGCAAGCAGGGGUACAUUUCAACCUUUGAUAUCUUGGAUGAAAUCUCUAUUGAUGAUUGUAACAAAAUAGUCCACUACACACUUUACUAUAACAAAGAGGAGUGCGAGUUAAAAUGCACGUGUGCAUUGUUUGAGAUGAGGGAAAUUUUAUGUAGGCAUGCACUUAAAGUUUUUCAGUUGUCCUGAAUUAAUGUGUUGCCAGAUUGAUAUGUCUUGGAUUGCUGGAGGAAGGAUGAGAAGAGGAGAUACACAUUGAUCAAAAGUAUUUAUGAUGACUUGGGGGUGAGUGGAGAUGCACGGAAGUAUGAGAUGGUGGUUAAAAGAUGCAUGAAAUUAGCAACUAAAAUAUCCCCAAGUGAUGAGCUUGUCAAUGCAUUCCUGCUUUAUGUCGAUGACUUUGAUUCAAAAUGUGAUGAUGUAACAUUUGGAUCGAGAUUUGAAUCAACGAAAGUUGGACCGAAUGUAGUCACAGAUAAUGGUAAGAAGAUAUUAAGCCCCCACGUGGUUUGAGGGAAAGGGAGACCCCUAAGUAAGAGAAAUGUUCCGCCUAUAGAAAAUAUGGCAAGAAAGAGAAAAGCUUGUAAGAAAAUAUUGGAUGAUGAAACACAAUUGGGUGACAACCCAGGAUCUCAACACCACCAAUUUGAUGAUGGGGUUGGUGCUGGGACACAAAAUAGCAUUGUCACACAAUCGAUGCCAUCAGGAAAUCAGGAGGUAUUAAGCUAUUGGUUAAAUGUGUCUUUGAAUAUAUUUUUUUCAAUUAAAGAUUGCAUGCAUAAUUUAAAAGUUGUUUACAUUAUAGUUGUUUUCUUUCAGAUGUGCCGCCAUCAUUGAGUUGUUGUUUUUGUGUCUGUUGGUAAUGACCAUGGUGUAAUUUGUGUUUGUUGAUGUGUUUCAUUUUUGUUCCUCUUGGAAAGGGUUGUGUUUAGUUUGAAAAUAUGCAAACUAUUUCUUUUUUGUUCCACUUAGAGAGGGUUGGGUGUAGUUUGCGAAUGUGCAAAGUGUUUCAUUUUUGUUCCUCUUGGAGAGGGUAGGGUGUAGUUUG